CAGUUUAGAGUUAUAAGAUUUUUUUUUUUUUCCUAAGCAGAAGGAGGGGAAGAAAGAAUUGAGAAGUAGCAUAGAAGAAAAGCAUAUCUGCCUUUCGGGUAUUCUUUUUAACAUGCUGAAGUCAGUGAAAUUUGGAGAAACCACAAAGUGUGUUUCCAGUUUCAAUGCUGAUGGGAAUUCUCAGGUAUAGAUGUCAUCCUUGCAGUAGGAAACAUUCUGCCCUGGCCAUCAGAAAGUGUUUUCCUGGAAUGUGCUGUUCCUUUUUUGCUGCCAACUCUAAUGUUGAAGGUCAGAGGGUAACAGAUGAAAUCUAGAGAAUGCAAUCAACCAAUUCCCACCUUCUAA